UAAUACCGCAUAACGUCUACGGACCAAAGGGGGCUUCGGCUCUCGCCCUUAGAUUAGCCCAAGUGUUUAUCACCUAAUUGGUGAGGUAAUGGCUCACCAAGGCGACGAUCCCUAGCUGGUUUGAGAGGAUGAUCAGCCACACUGGAACUGAGACACGGUCCAGACUCCUACGGGAGGCAGCAGUGGGGAAUAUUGCACAAUGGGCGCAAGCCUGAUGCACCCAUGCCGCGUGUGUGAAGAAGGCCUUAGGGUUGUAAAGCACUUUCAGUAAGGAGGAAAGGUUAGUAGUUAAUACCUGCUACCUGUGACGUUACUUA
rnacentral:rRNA from 1 species